CCCUGCAAUAGCCCAUUUAUUUUGCAGCGUACAGAUAAAAGCCCGCUGCAAUAAAAAAAUUUCGCUGCAAAGCUAAUUAAGAAAAACAUUUCGGAUCUCAAACCUAAGGACGCUCAUACUCCCUCUUCUUCCCUCAGCUUUCCCUGCGUACUCUCUCACCUCCUCAUUCUUCUUCUUCUUCAUCUGCUCUCUUUCUCUCUCCUAAAUCCGUUUCUUCUCCGCCAUUUUUUGGGUUUUUUGCAAGUAAUUGUUGAAAUUGGGUGACAAUUCGUCUUGGUUUUUGUGAAAAUUUGCUCGACUCUUUCUCUCCAAACAUCUGGCCUUCGACCUCAGCCUUCGAACUCAGCCGCCUUCGAAAUUGAGGAGAUAAUGUUGCAGAGCAGAGUCAUGCUUGCAGCUCACAUGACUGCUCAUCAACUCCUUCUACUUCCACAUCUUCGCCUUUUCCUUCACCCUCUGCUAUCAAUCAACAACCAUUCUUACAUGUUCAUAGCAGUUUGGGAAACCAUUCUUCUUUCAUGCCAGAAAUGGAGAUGAUGAAAGAGAGAUUUGCGAAGCUGCUGCUUGGCGAAGACAUGUCUGGCUCUGGUAAAGGUGUUAGCACGGCGUUGGCUAUUUCAAAUGCUAUUACGAAUUUAUGUGCCACAUUAUUUGGGCAACUAUGGAGAUUGGAACCUGUGCCGCCUGAAAAGAAAGCAAUGUGGAGAAGAGAGAUGGAAUGGCUUCUCUGUGUUGGUG